rnacentral:rRNA from 1 species
AUUGAACGCUGGCGGAAUGCUUUACACAUGCAAGUCGAACGGCAGCAUAGGUGCUUGCACCUGAUGGCGAGUGGCGAACGGGUGAGUAAUACAUCGGAACGUGCCCAGUCGUGGGGGAUAACGUAGCGAAAGUUACGCUAAUACCGCAUACGAUCUAAGGAUGAAAGCGGGGGACCGUAAGGCCUUGCGCGAUUGGAGCGGCCGAUGUCAGAUUAGGUAGUUGGUGAGGUAAAGGCUCACCAAGCCGACGAUCUGUAGCUGGUCUGGGAGGACGACCAGCCACACUGGGAGUGAGACACGGCCCAGACUCCUACGGGAGGCAGCAGUGGGGAAUUUUGGACAAUGGACGCAAGUCUGAUCCAGCCAUUCCGCGUGCAGGACGAAGGCCUUCGGGUUGUAAACUGCUUUUGUACGGAACGAAAAAGCUCUUACUAAUACUAGGAGUCCAUGACGGUACCGUGAGAAUAAGCACCGGCUAACUACGUGCCAGCCGCCGCCGUAA